rnacentral:rRNA from 1 species
AACGAACGCUGGCGGCAGGCUUAACACAUGCAAGUCGAGCGCCCGCAAGGGGAGCGGCAGACGGGUGAGUAACGCGUGGGAAUCUACCGUGCCCUACGGAAUAGCUCCGGGAAACUGGGAUUAAUACCGUAUACGCCCUACGGGGGAAAGAUUUAUCGGGGUAUGAUGAGCCCGCGUUGGAUUAGCUAGUUGGUGGGGUAAAGGCCUACCAAGGCGACGAUCCAUAGCUGGUCUGAGAGGAUGAUCAGCCACAUUGGGACUGAGACACGGCCCAAACUCCUACGGGAGGCAGCAGUGGGGAAUAUUGGACAAUGGGCGCAAGCCUGAUCCAGCCAUGCCGCGUGAGUGAUGAAGGUCUUAGGAUUGUAAAGCUCUUUCACCGGUGAAGAUAAUGACGGUAACCGGAGAAGAAGCCCCGGCUAACUUCGUGCCAGCCGCCGCCGUAAGAC